rnacentral:rRNA from 1 species
CUGCAAGUCGAACGAGAUCCUUCGGGGUCUAGUGGCGCACGGGUGCGUAACGCGUGGGAAUCUGCCUUUCGGUACGGAAUAACUCAGGGAAACUUGUGCUAAUACCGUAUGACGUCGCGAGACCAAAGAUUUAUCGCCGAAAGAUGAGCCCGCGUAGGAUUAGCUAGUUGGUGGGGUAAAGGCCUACCAAGGCGACGAUCCUUAGCUGGUCUGAGAGGAUGAUCAGCCACACUGGGACUGAGACACGGCCCAGACUCCUACGGGAGGCAGCAGUGGGGAAUAUUGGACAAUGGGCGAAAGCCUGAUCCAGCAAUGCCGCGUGAGUGAUGAAGGCCUUAGGGUUGUAAAGCUCUUUUACCCGGGAUGAUAAUGACAGUACCGGGAGAAUAAGCCCCGGCUAACUCCGUGCCAGCAGCCGCGGUAAUACGGAGGGGGCUAGCGUUGUUCGGAAUUACUGGGCGUAAAGCGUACGUAGGCGGUGACUCAAGUCAGAGGUGAAAGCCCGGGGCUCAACUCCGGAAUUGCCUUUGAAACUAGGUCGCUUGAACGUCGGAGAGGUGAGUGGAAUUCCGAGUGUAGGGGUGAAAUUCGUAGAUAUUCGGAAGAACACCAGUGGCGAAGGCGGCUCACUGGACGACUGUUGACGCUGAGGUACGAAAGCGUGGGGAGCAAACAGGAUUAGAUAC